AGGAGUGUGACUUAGUGGUUAGGGUAUUUGGCUGACAAUCAUAACGUUGUGAGUUCAAGCCUUGCCAGUGCAU
rnacentral:tRNA from 1 species